UGAAAAUAAAUGAAAUCCCCACCUCUCUCCUUGGUUCCUUGAAUUGCUUAGGAUUCCUAGGAUCACAACCAAAAAUGCAAAUAAAAUAUGAUAUACAUAUGAUGACCUAUGUAUAACAUCCAAAUUAAAAUUGGGAUGUUACACCUAGCCCCGUUUCCUACGAUCCCGCGGUCGCUGCCCCUGCUCCAUCCGACCUCCCUCGUCAGCCGCCGCCGCUAUGGCUCCUCCGUCCACCGACUCUAUCUCCCCAAUUCAUCCUCCAUCCCUUUCUGCUCGAGGUGCUCAUCGGCCCAGGUCGUGAGGAAGCCGCGUGAGGAGGAGAGACCUCGCCCGAGAAGCUGUGGGAGGAGGGCCUCAACCAGAGAGGAGCGACUGCUAGCCAUGUAGUCGGCUUGGCUCGACGCCGUCCUUGGAGACCGGGCCGCGGCAUACCCUAGAGCCAUGAGUCUUCACGACCUCCAUGUGCGCAUCUUUCAGGAUUUAAUAAUGAGUUAUCUUGGGCUUCAUUGGACAAAUGAUCUACCUAGAGCAAUGAUAUAGGUUCUACUGCAACAGUACAACAUACAAAGUGAUGGAGGAGAGGUGUUCAGAGAAAGAGUUAUACAUCUGCCAGGUUCUGACGUAUGAGGAUUCGGUGCGACAGGAAGCAGCUCUGAAUACGGUUCCUGUAGAUGAACUUAAGGAGAAGGCGCUUAGUUCAUUGGCCAAGGAAACAUGUGAAAAAGGUGGGAUCUUUCCGUCGACUUUCGCAGCUGGCUAUAUGCAUCAUAGAGCAUCUAAUCUGCAUCAAGUUUAGACAUGGAUAUUAUUGUGAAUAAUUCGGUGUUAAUGCUCAUACGUGUGGAGCGUCGACCACGGCGAGCUUGGCUAAUGUUAACACGUGAAGCUGGGUCAAGUACAGAAGACGAAACACAAGAUCCAAGAUCACUCUCCCGUAUGUGAUUAUUUACUCAUAUCGAGCCAUUUUGCAACCCAGCUUGACUUCUUUUAUUUUGCGAUCUGAGCUAUACACACCAAUAUUAGCCCAUGUAAGUUUGAACCAUAUCUGAACAUGUUAGGCCACUCUCCUGUAUGUGAUGAUUUACUCUAUGGAGCCAUGUUAUGACCUGGCUUGAGUUCUUUUAUUUGCGAUCUGAGCUGCAAAAUAAAAAUAAGAUAAAAAGAGUCCACAUAAUUUGAACCAUAUCUGAACAUUUUAGUACCUGAAUACUGAAAUUACCAAACAUGAUCUUCACUUCGCCAUGUGUGACACCACUGAGUAUUUUAACUAAGCUAGCUGUAGUAAUAUUACGUUUUACAUGGCUAUGCAAGUUAAAGGUUCUAAUAUAGUGUAUGUUUAUUGAUAUUUUGUGUUAUACUGAUUAAUAUACUUCACAUGUAAGUUUUAAGCUAAGAGCUCCUAAUAAUUGUUUCUCCUCUUUGCAGUUGCCAUUUUAGUCAUAUUUUUGUUGAGAUAAAGAAUAAUAUUGAGAUGAAUUUCCUUUCCGAUGAUGAGAUUGGUUAUGCCUAUGUUUUGUAUUUUUUCAGUAUUUUAUUUCAAGCUUCGGUUAGCUGAGAGAGCUAAGAGAUAAUAUGGUAAAUAAUUUCUAUCAAGUGGGUGAGCUCCAUUUUUCAAGGUAAGUCAGGUGACAGCAAAAAAAUACCAAGCAGAUGAGUCUCUUAUCAGUUGAUUUGAUCUUAUCCAGGUUCUAUUUUCGUUCAGGCCAUGAGUUACGAUGUCUUGGUUAGAGCUACUACAUUCAAAGAGUAAAUCUGUUUUGUUGUACUGAAUUUCUGUACAUUGUAUGAAAAAGGUGCAUCUAUUAUGCCCCGUAGAAAUUUUAGCUAAGCAACUGUGUAGACUUACAAAGCUAUCAUGACAGAUGUUAGUGAUUUUUGUAUUGAGGCCAUGUUACAUCUCUAGGGUUGAAUUAAUGGCUAGAAGUUCAGAGUUACAUAGCUGAAAACGGGGUUGCUCGAAGCAAGCUGCUUAUUCAGUAUUUUUAACACUCAUGGAAAAGGUAUAUGCUCAUACUAAAUUCCUAAUUAUUAUUAUAUCACAUAACUGAAAGUGCAUUAGACCAAUGGUGUAGUCCAGUCAAAUUGACUAUCUUUAUUUUCAUGAAAAAAUGGGAUCUAUCAAGCACAUUCAGGAUAUGGACAAACAGAGGGGAAGAAAAUAUGGCGGGGGAAAAAUUUCUCAGAAAUAAAUAAUUUCUGCCCCAUAGCUGAACCGUGUCUUUUCUCAGUGUGUAUAUGUGUUAGAGAUGUGUAUGAUUCAGAUAAUUUUCUUCAUUUGUUAACUUUACCAAUGUAUGGCUGACAUGCUUCAUUAUGUUAUAUCACAUCUGAAAGUGCAUUACACCGGUGGUUUAUUAGAAUGGAUAAUUUCGGUCAAAUAAUUGAGUUGUUCUUUUCUUCGGUGUAUAUACAAGUUACAGAUGUGCAUGAUUAUGUUUAUUCUCUACAUUUGGUAAAUUCACCUAUGUAUGGCUGACAUACUUCUUUAGGUUAUGUUUCUAAAGCUCCAUGCUUAAUCAUCCAGAAUGUUUCCAAGUGACUGCUUUACACAUGGGAGAAUGGAUGCAUGGAGGAGUUCACAGAAGCUGGUGUUAUGUUACAUAUGGUCUUCAAGCUGAUGUUAUGUUUCUUGCAUGGUUUGUAUAUUUGUUGCAAAAAUAUAGUACAAGAAAAAGAUCUAUGCUCAUGAAGAUGGCAGAAGGGAACUACAUGUGGAACAAGAACCACCAGCGCUGACGAGUUGGGCAUCUGGAUAGUGGUAGUGCAAAAAAAUUGCUUGCCCUAUAGAGUCAAUGUAAUCUACCACUAUCCCACUCGCUGAUUUUUAUGUUAUGAAAUUAUAGUUCAACCAUAGUAUGUAUUUACACUCCUGCUGUGAGAUUGUACUAUGUAAAUUAUGGGAGGACAAUGUAGGCCUUUAUAUGCAAAUAACUCCUUGUUGAAA